rnacentral:rRNA from 1 species
GGUCAAGUUAUUAAGGGUGCAGGGCGGAUGCCUUGGCACUAGGAGCCGAUGAAGGACGUGAUAAGCUGCGAUAAGCUUCGGGGAGUUGCACGUAAACUUUGAUCCGAAGAUUUCCGAAUGAGGAAACUCACUUAGAGUAAUGUCUAAGUAUCAUUAAGUGAAUACAUAGCUUAAUGAGGGGAACUCAGGGAACUGAAACAUCUAAGUACCUGAAGGAAGAGAAAGAAAUUCGAUUCCGUAAGUAGCGGCGAGCGAACGCGGAUUAGCCCAAACCAAUAAAGUUUUCUUUAUUGGGGUUGCGGACAUAUCAUAACGAAGAGGUAUCGUAAUUGAAGAGGUUUGGAAAGACCCACCACAGAAGGUAAUAGUCCUGUAUGUUAAACGAGAAGACUUCAGAUAUGAUCCAGAGUACCACGGGACACGUGAAACCCUGUGGGAAGCAGGAGGGACCACCCUCCAAGGCUAAAUACUACCUAGUGACCGAUAGCGUAUAGUACCGUGAGGGAAAGGUGAAAAGUACCCUGGGAGGGGAGUGAAAUAGAACCUGAAACCCUGCACUUACAAGCUGUGGAAGCACAUUUCUUGUGUGACCGCGUACUUUUUGUAGAACGGGCCAACGAGUUACGUUAAGUAGCAAGGUUAAGCACUUAAGGUGUGGAGCCGUAGCGAAAGCGAGUUUUAACUGAGCGUUCAGUUACUUGACGUAGACCCGAAACCGGGCGACCUACCCAUGAGCAGGAUGAAGCGAAAGUAAAAUUUCGUGGAGGUCCGAACCCACGAGCGUUGAAAAGCUCGGGGAUGACUUGUGGGUAGCGGUGAAAUUCCAAUCGAGCCCGGAGAUAGCUGGUUCUCCCCGAAAUAGCUUUAGGGCUAGCCUCAAGGUGAGAGAUACGGAGGUAGAGCACUGAAUGUCCUAGGGGGUAUUGCACCUACCGAAGACUAUCAAACUCCGAAUGCCGUCAUCUUAUACUUGGGAGUCAGACUGUGGGUGAUAAGAUUCAUAGUCGAAAGGGCAACAGCCCAGAUCGUCAGCUAAGGUCCCUAAAUGUAAGUUAAGUGGUAAAGGAUGUGGGAUUGCACAGACAACCAGGAUGUUGGCUUAGAAGCAGCCACUCAUUCAAAGAGUGCGUAAUAGCUCACUGGUCGAGUGAUCCUGCGCCGAAGAUUUCCGGGGCUAAAACUUACUACCGAAGCUACGGCAUCAGUAAUGAUGGGUAGGGGAGCUUCCCAUACGGGUUGAAGCAUGACCGUAAGGACAUGUGGACAGUAUGGGAGUGAGAAUGUUGGCAUGAGUAGCGAGAUGUGGGUGAGAAUCCCACAGGCCGUAAACCCAAGGUUUCCAGGGGAAGGUUCGUCCGCCCUGGGUUAGUCGGGACCUAAGCUGAGGCCGAAAGGCGUAGGUGAUGGACAACAGGUUGAUAUUCCUGUACUACCGAUAACCGUUUGAGAGAAGGGAUGACACAGUAGGAUAAGCUAAGCACACUGUUGGUUAUGUGUGCCCAAGCAUUGAGGCAGUCAAAGUAGGCAAAUCCGCUUUGAUAAUGCUGGGAUGUGAUGGGGAGCGAAAUUUAGUAGCGAAGUAGCUGAUUUCACACUGUCAAGAAAAGUCUCUAUCGAGGUUAAAGGUACCCGUACCGCAAACCGACACAGGUGGGUGAGGAGAGUAUCCUAAGGCCAGCGAGAGAACUGUUGUUAAGGAACUCGGCAAAAUGACCCCGUAACUUAGGGAUAAGGGGUGCCACCAUCAGGUGGCCGCAGAGAAUAGGCCCAAGCGACUGUUUACCAAAAACAUAGGUUUCUGCUAAGUCGCAAGACGAUGUAUAGGAGCUGACGCCUGCCCGGUGCUGGAAGGUUAAGGGGAUCUGUUAGAGCAAUCGAAGCAGUGAACUUAAGCCCCAGUAAACGGCGGCCGUAACUAUAACGGUCCUAAGGUAGCGAAAUUCCUUGUCGGGUAAGUUCCGACCCGCACGAAAGGCGUAACGAUUUGGGCACUGUCUCAACAACAGACUCGGUGAAAUUGUAAUUCCGGUGAAGAUGCCGGAUACCUGCGACAGGACGGAAAGACCCCAUGGAGCUUUACUGUAGCUUGACAUUGGGUCUUGGUACUACAUGUACAGGAUAGGUGGGAGGCUUUGAAACCAGGACGCCAGUUUUGGCGGAGCCAUCCUUGGGAUACCACCCUUGUAGUACUGGGACUCUAACCAUAGGCCAUGAAUCUGGUCUUGGGACACUGUCAGGUGGGCAGUUUGACUGGGGCGGUCGCCUCCCAAAAGGUAACGGAGGCGCUCAAAGGUUCUCUCAGUACGGUCGGAAAUCGUACGUAGAGUGUAAAGGCAAAAGAGAGCUUGAUUGCAAGACAUACAGGUCGAGCAAGGAUGAAAAUCGGACUUAGUGAUCCGGUGGUUCUGCGUGGAAGGGCCAUCGCUCAACGGAUAAAAGCUACCCUGGGGAUAACAGGCUUAUCUCCCCCAAGAGUCCACAUCGACGGGGAGGUUUGGCACCUCGAUGUCGGCUCAUCACAUCCUGGGGCUGUAGUAGGUCCCAAGGGUUGGGCUGUUCGCCCAUUAAAGUGGUACGCGAGCUGGGUUCAGAACGUCGUGAGACAGUUCGGUCCCUAUCCGUCGCAGGCGUAGGAAAUUUGAGAAGACCUGUCCUUAGUACGAGAGGACCGGGAUGGACGUACCUCUGGUGUACCAGUUGUUCUGCCAAGGGCAUGGCUGGGUAGCUAUGUACGGAAUGGAUAAGCGCUGAAAGCAUCUAAGCGCGAAGCCAACUUCAAGAUAAGAUUUCCCACCGCAAGGGUAAGACCCCAGAAAGACUAUCUGGUUGAUAGGUCGAAGGUGUAAGUGCAGCAAUGUAUUUAGCUUAUCGAUACUAAUAGGUCGAGGACUUGACCAA